UUAUGCUUUUUACUUAAUUUACAAUUACUAUGGCAUGGAAUUAAAAGAACACAAUUUAACAACAGGCUUCUAGUAAACCCUGCAUGUCAUGUGUCAGUCUCUUCUGGAUUACAGAUAUUUGUGAAAAGUUCUUCAAUAAAACCCAUCCAAAAUUAGAAUGCAAAGGCUGACAAGGGAGAAUAAACAGGUGCAGAACUGGGUUAGGGAUCCCAAAUGAUGGAAGGAAGAAAACUGGAGUAGCUGACAACUGGACUGCAGACAAAAAAAACCCCUCGAUGGUAAGGAAAAUAUGGUGUGAAUUGCUUGGGACCAGUACUGUCUAAACAAUUUGUUACUUUGGGAAUGCCAGAGGAAAGUCAGUCCAUGUGGGAAUAAACAACACGUGACAGACUAAAGCCAGAAUGAAGCUUUUGAACACUACAAACAGCUGUUUCUUGGAUCAGUGAGAACAUACAAGAGGAAGAGCAACUCCUGAUUUGGACCUAAAUAAUGCACAGGCAGCAAGUCACUCUUAGGAGAGAUGCAGCACUGACAGUAGCAGCAAUAUAUUCAAAGAUCUUGCAAAUCUCCCUGAAGUUGCCACAGCAAACAGUAAACUAAAAAUGGCUUCCAGAA